rnacentral:rRNA from 1 species
GACGAACGCUGGCGGCGUGCCUAACACAUGCAAGUCGAGCGGAGAUGUACUGAAGAUUUAUCGGAUGUACAUCUUAGCGGCGGACGGGUGAGUAACGCGUGGGCAACCUGCCUUUCACUGGGGGAUAACACAGGGAAACCUGUGCUAAUACCGCAUGACAUCACGUAGGGCAUCCUAUGUGAUCAAAGGAGAGAUCCGGUGGAAGAUGGGCCCGCGUCCAAUUAGCUGGUUGGUGAGGUAAAGGCUCACCAAGGCGACGAUUGGUAGCCGAACUGAGAGGUUGAUCGGCCACAUUGGGACUGAGACACGGCCCAGACUCCUACGGGAGGCAGCAGUGGGGAAUAUUGCGCAAUGGGGGGAACCCUGACGCAGCAACGCCGCGUGAAGGAAGAAGGUCUUCGGAUUGUAAACUUCUUUGAUGAGGGACGAAUAAAGUGACGGUACCUCAAAACAAGCCACGGCUAACUACGUGCCAGGCAGCCGCGGUAAAAGUC